CAAUAGCCUACAUAUGAACGAGUAAUCUGUCAUAUGCCGGCAGAUCUCACCAAUCACAGUACAGUAAUUUCUCCCGGAUUCGCAUUACUUCAGUAUUCUCAGGUUCGCGCUGUGAUAUUGCUACGGCCCUGUAAUUUAUCGAUUUUCUCACUACAUCGAUGCUAAAGUUUGACAUAGUCAGUGAACACGUGUGCUACGGCACGCUGCGCGGCUCCUUUGAAUCGAAUUCCCGAAAGACAACUCAUAAUACAAUGAUAUAACUUUUUUUAAUUUUAACAUUUUAAAACAGACUUUUUUUUAAACAUUUUCUGAUUUAAAUAAAAUCAAACACGAUAUAAUUUCAAGACAGUCAAACAUGUUUUUGUGUGGUAUAUGAAUACAGUCAAAUCUGUUUUUGUGCAGUAGAUAGGGACCGCAGGAAAAAAACGCACAAAAAAAAUCGUAUAAAAAAGACCGCACAGAAACAGGAUUGACUGUACAUUUAUUUACAUGUCUAAUAUUAAUUCUUUGGGAAGAAAAAAAUGUUGUGAAGUUCUGCGAAUCUUUGAAAGUGACAAUUAUAAAAGAACCUAUUAACAUUUUAAAAAUCUGUGUGCCAUCUCUUUUAUAUAUCAUACAAAAUAAGUAAUAAGUAAUAAGUAAUAAUAUGGUAGCAGUCACGCAAAGACAGAAUCAUUAAGAAAUAUCGCAUUUAUUGUCACUGAAAAAUUUCUAAUUGUAUAAUAUUACUGAAGUUGCCUUUAUUAGAUUCGGAUACACGAACAUUACAAUUUUUCGGGAUCCUGACUCGACCCGACUUCUUUUUCGGGUAUUGGAAUUCUAUAAACUUUCGGGAUCCCGACCCGACUCCAAUUUCGUGUACUCGACUUCGCGUAAAGUAGCGGAAAAAAUGCUCUCAAAACUGCAGGAAAAGUUGCAGACAAACUUAAAAAAGGAUUGGUUAAGGAGCCUCUAAAACACCAAACGACUAGAUCAUCAAUAAAAGCUGCGACCAUUUGGAUGAAAUGCAAGAGAAUUGAUUGGUCCAAAGUGACCCUUCAAACGCGCGAAUUCUUCUUCAAAUACUAAAUGGUAAAAUCGCGAAUCGAACUUUCCUUGACGAGUGGACGUUGUUGUUACAUCCAUUGCGUCUUGACCACCACCAAGAACCACCUGUAGAAAGCAUAAUCCUCAUGAAUUAUCAGAAAUAUGAUCUUGCGUGUGUCAUGAUCGAGUGCGAACAUACAUGAUCGAAAAUAGGAGAAAUUGUGGCAGAGUUUACAGGUCUUUCUGUUUUAUAUGUCUUCAAUAACAUUAGCGAUUCACUGUCAAACAAUUUUGCGGUGUUGUCUUUUGAUGCAGUUACAAACAUGGUGCCAUCCUUAUUGAACUGCAUAUCAUUAAUUUGAGACUUGUGACUUGAAACACUGUUCAACUUCUUUCUUGUCUAUAAAAAUAAGGUACAUUGAUUAGUCGCAGAUAGUGUUGGAAAUGUUACAAAAUAUUUGAUGUUACUUACUCUCACAUCCCAAAGAAUGAUUUCACCAUCUUCAUGGCCAGUAAUAAUUGUUUCAUCUAAAGCACCCCAUAAAAUGGCAGAGAUUCUGGGACCAUUAACAGAAAUUCUAGAAAUUGCAUCUUCUUGUGACAAUGCUCCAUCAACAUUUCUGAUAUCUAUGAUGAACAUCUCACAUUGGUGACCGAGAGCUUUGUCUGUAGAAUAGACAGCAAGGUCUGCUGAAUAACUAAAGUUACAUGUCCUUACUGAACUAUUUGUUUGGAGUUGACCGAUUUCUUUGCCUAAAUGUGAAUUACAAAAUAUAGUAGAAAAUCAAAUAAUUUUUAUGUGAAUCAACUUUUCUUUUGCUUAACACAAUAUACAAACCAGUUUGACAGUCCCAAACUCUCAGUGUGUUGUCACCACUGCCAGAUAUAAAUCUAGUUGUGUCCCAAUUGACAUCGAUACACCAUACAGAACCAUUGUGGCCAUUAAAUGUUCCAAGACGUUCUCCAUUCAAAGAAUACCAAACAUUUGGCUUUUUAUCUUUACUUGACGAAAAUAAUAAAUCUCCUUCCCUAUUAUAUUUGAUUUUUGUGAUGGCACGCUCGUGCCCGUGUAACAUCAAGGGUUUCUGGAAUAUAAUGAACGAUUUAUUUACAUCUCAGUUACAUUAACAUAACCAUAAAAAGCGGUUAAGCACGACAGCAUUUUAACCGCAUUACAAAGCAAAUUCAUUGAACAUCACAAUAGCAAUCGAACCUUUACAAAAUCAAAUGCGCUUUAAAACAAUUUAAGUAUGUAUAUACAUAAGGUUUACAUUGAGGUUAUACUGUCACAUGUUUAAAUAUUUUACGAAAAGUACGUUUAAACUAUUGACAACGGACAAUAUGAAUGAUCACGACUAACCAUCUUCUGGUGCAGUACACAAUUAAAUAAAAUGUUUACGAAAGAUCAA